AUGGGCGGCGUGUGCUCGCUCCCCGAGGACUGGCCUGAGUGCCUUAGCCUAGUUACUCAUGGGACUUGGUUUACCAGACAAGGGGAUAAAAACAUUCAGACGGCAGAAUACAGUUUUUCAGAUGGGGUUCCUUCAGAUUUCGUGGAAGCUGCUAAAAAUGCAAGUAAGAUGGAAAAGCUCAUGGAUCAGGUGAUGCAGAAUCCUGGAGUUUUGGCAGCUUUACAGGAGCGACUUGACAAUGCCAGCGACUUGACAACCCCUUCCAGCUACAUCGAAACUUUACCUAAAGCUAAAAAGAAGAAUUAAUGCAUUGAAACCAAUUCAGGUGAGAUGCGCUCAUAUAGGAGCCAAGUUAUUUGAAGAAGUUCAUGACUUGGAAAGAAAAUAUGCAGCAUUAUACCAGCCUCUCUUUGACAAGAGAAGAGAAUUUAUCACCGGUGAUGUUGAACCAACAUCUGAUAUGGAAUCAGAAUGGCACAGUGAAAAUGAAGAGGAGGAGAAAUUGGCUGGAGACAUGAAAAAUAAAGUAGUCAUAACAGAAAAAGCAGCAGCAACAGCUGAAUAGCCAAAUCCCAAAGGAAUUCCAGAGUUCUGGUUUACCAUAUUUAGAAAUGUAGAUAUGCUAAGUGAAUUGGUCCAGGAAUAUGAUGAACCAAUCUUGAAACACCUGCAGGAUAUUAAAGUGAAGUUUUCUGACCCUGGACAGCCUAUGUCUUUUAUAUUAAGAGUUUCACUUUGAACCCAACGACUACUUUGCCAACUCAGUCCUGAGAAAAACCUGCAAGAUGAAAUCAGAACCAGAUAAGGCUGAUCCCUUUUUAUUUGCAGGUCCUGAGAUCAUGGACUGCGACGGGUAUACUAUUGACUGGAAGAAAGGAAAGAAUGUUAUUGUCAAAACCAUCAAGAAAAAGCAGAAGCGUAAGGGUCCAGGCACUGUUAGAACAAUUACCAAACAAGUAUCCAAUGAGUCAUUUUUCAACUUCUUCAAUCCACUGAAAGCAUCUGGGGAUAGAGAAUCACUGGAUAAAGAUUCUGAAUUCGUAUUAGCCUCUGAUUUUGAAAUUGGACACUUUUUCUGUGAGCGGAUAGUCCCGCAGGCUGUGCUGUACUUCACUGGAGAGGCCUUAGAGGAUGACGACAAUUUUGACGAAGAUGAAGAAGAGGGCGAAUUAGAAGGUAACGAGGAGGGAGAAGAUGAGGAUGAGGUAGAAAUUAAUCCCAACAAGGAACCCAGCCAGCCGGCGGAAUGCAAGCAGCAGCAGGAAGUGGAGGUAGGCGCCUGGCAGACCGGCUGUCGCGACUCCGGGCCUGUGGGGGGAGGCCUCAGUCUUUGCCGCAUGCGGCACAAUACCGUCGACAGCGCUUACUCCGUCUAA